GAUAUAGUCCCCCCGUCCGGAAAUACUUGUCAGAGAAAUAAACAAAAAUGGAUGUAUCUAGAAACUAAAAUACGUCUAGAUACAUCAAUUUCUCCGACAAGUAUUUCUGGACGGAGGGAGUACUAA
rfam:Triticum aestivum genome assembly, contig: Triticum_aestivum_CS42_TGACv1_scaffold_177257_2DS